UUAAAUAACGUCAGACUAGUCAAAACCUUAUUCCUAGUUUGUUGCCUGAAGUCCUGUGAUUUCGAAUAACUAACUCGUGGCUUUACGACACUUGAGUAAAAAUAUUCUUUUAGAGUUAGAAGAAGGAAUAUGCACCUUGAGGCCCCUUGGGGCUUGCUUGCUGUGGUGUGUUCCACCCCGCCCAGGCCCCUGACAGCAGGACUGAGAAAGGAACCUUGACCUUUUCCUUUAUAUUCGCAUGUACUAGCAUCUGGCCAGGCAUAUAGUAAGCAAUCAAUAAAAGGGUGACUGGAUGAAUGAAUGGAGAUGAAAUGAUGAGUAAACUUUGCCCAGAGGAAGUGGUUUCCCCAUAUUGUUUAUCACAUGCGAAAGAACUUGGUGAACAGGACUGAGUAUAAAUGCAUUGUGUGGAUCCUAAAAACUUACUAGAACAGUAGUUUUGAACAUAACUAUUCCAACAUAACUAUUAAAACUCAAUUACAAUGCACACUAAUCUAAUAGCUUUUAAUCCUGUGAAGGGAUGUGUAUAUAAAUUGAAAUGUCUAAUCUGAAUAUAUAGUACUUAAUUCCAUUAUAUAUUUUGACUUUCAAAUGUGAUGAAAAUACAUGCAGCAAAACAUUAGGCAUGUUUUUACAAGCUAUGGUCCAGCACUUGCCUAAAGGAAAUUACUGUAUGGGACAUACAAUUCUACACAAAUACUGAAACAUAAAUACAAAUGUACCUUUCUCCUCAUCAUGUUCUCUGGCACAGGAAGAGGCCAUGGGUAUGUACACAUAUACCCAAAGGGUCAUUUGUGCUUUAAAAGACCUUAAAAGCCUAAGAACCAAUUAAUUCCCUUGGAAAUCCAUCCAGAUAGGGAGGGCAGAAGAGUGCCCUCUUCUAAACUCUGGCUGGGCCCAGUAAGCCCUCUCACUCCUCAAUUUCUGAUCCAGGACAGAGCUCCAACAGACUCGAGGAGUGGAGGGAAGAAACGAGAAAACCAGGAAAAGGAAGAAGGCGAGGCACUGACAACACUCAUGGGCCCACUGAAAUAGUCCUUUUCAAACAAUCUUCUAGGGUUUGAAUAACACGUGAUGGAAGAUACCCUAGAAAACUGAGAUUCAAAGCACCAAAACUGAAAUCACAACACAAAGUAAUUUUCAUACCUGUUAACAGAAGAACAGGCUCUUGUUCUGUGCCUGAAAGGAGCGGAGCACCUUGGGCAGGAAGCUUCGACUUGCUGAGGACUUCAAGACCAGGAGACAGAAUGUUCGGAGGGACUGCCCCAAAGAGCUCAGGCAAAGAAGGGCGCUGAGAAGGGUGAUUCUGCCUGUCAUCAAGGAGCCAGAGACCAGAGAAUACACCGCCAACACUCCCAAGUGCAUCCGCAAAGUGGGCUUCAAGACACCUGGCCCUUGGGCACUCUUCAAGAUCCAGAAAUUUGCCUCGAAGGAGAUGGCAUCUCAGAUGUGCGCUUUGACACCAGGCUCAGCAAAGCUCUCUGGGGCAAAGGGAUAAGGAAUGUCCUGUACUGCUUCCAUGUGUGGUUGUCCAGAAAACAUACUGAGGAUGAGGAGUCACCAAACAAGCUUUACACGUCGGAUACCUAUGUACCUGUCUCCGCUGUCAAAAAUCUAUAGCCAAUGUAGUUGAGAACUAACAGCUGUUAUAAA